rnacentral:rRNA from 1 species
UCUUGUGUAUCUAUAAGAAGUAAUUCCUGCCCAGUGACUAAAGUUUAACGGCCGCGGUAUCCUAACCGUGCAAAGGUAGCAUAAUCACUUGCCCGUUAAUUGCGGGCUAGAAUGAAUGGACUAACGAAAUAAAAGCUGUCUCUAUGGGCCCAAUAAAAAUUAAUCUCUAACUGAAGAACGUUAGAUAUUAUCGAAGGACAAGAAGACCCUAUAGAGCUUUAUCUUACAAGAAGGUUUACUUUUCUAAGAUUCGGUUGGGGCGACCGAGGAAGUAAAUAAUCAUCCUUUUUUUAUAGAUUGAUAAAUCCAACCCCUGACCCUUAUCAAAGACCAUAAAAACAAGCUACCUUAGGGAUAACAGGCUAAUCCCACUAAAGAGUUCUUAUCAAUAGUGGGGUUUGGCACCUCGAUGUUGGCUUAGGGAAUCUAUGUGGCGCAAAAGUCAUAUAAAGAAGGUUUGUUCAACCAUUAAUACCCUACAUGAGCUGAGUUCAGACCGGCGUAAGCCAGGUUAGUUUCUAUCCUCGACAAAACUACCUAUUUAUAGUACGAAAGGACCUAAAUAAGGAUAAAUAUUAUAAACAAAGAAUAAAUAUAAUACAUGUUAAAACAUAAAAUACAUAGACUAUG